GGGAACGCGCAAUGGUCAGAGUAAAAAGACAGGACGGCAAAAAACAAGGUGAAUGCUUUUCCAUGUCUAUUGCUGCCGAUUUCUCAUACUCUUUUGGGGGUCAAAGACAAAUAAGCGUUCAAAGUGCACAAGGUCUCGAGGAUUUGAUGAUUGAAAAAUGAGUCUGUACAGUUGCUGAUGGGCAAAUUCCACCCCAGGAAACUUGUCAGCAAGAGGUCAAGCAAAAGUUUCAAGAGCAAAGAGCAGUACAGGUACAUAUAUUGAAGGCUGCUAUUUUUCCUCCUUGGAUGUUGCAGCAGAAUAUUACUGUCCUUUGGGAUGAGGUAGUAGGUUGUAUAGUUUUAGGGUUACACCCUUCCGGUCAGAUAACUAUACAAUCUACUGUCUUUCCUGAGGUGGCUGUCAAAACUACGAUGGAUCAUUUGAAAACUACACAAUUGUUUUAGUGAUCUGGAUUUUGAAUUACAGCUGUUCCGUUUUAAUGUGUGUUUCUUCAACACGAAUUGGGUUUAAUGCAAUUGAAGAAUUUAGACCGCUACUUGUAGAAGGUGAACCUUCCUUACCUGUAUUGACUCUAACGCAAUUUUGGUCCCAUUAGUAAAAAUGGAGUGGCUAUUGCACCAUUUUGUUAUAAUAUGAAA